rnacentral:misc_RNA from 1 species
UUCAAAUUUUAGGUGUCUAGUUGUAUACUCGGAAAAGGACAAUGAGUUUCGAACAGCACGCACUUACCCAAAAAUGGUCCUAAUUGAUGUUUCAGUGCACGAUGAUAAAUAUUUGGCAGUAGAUGUACCUACUAUGAGAACGUUGUACGUUCAAAUACCCAUCAAAGAUGAAAACAAAGAGUCCUUUAUCAGAUUGCAUAAAGGCGAAGAAAUGUAUGCCAUUGACUGUGGAGACGAAGCUGCUUCUUGGUUUUCCAGAUACAUCUUGGGCAAAGACGUCGGUUUAAGGCUGGGCUUUCACGAUGCGAGCAGAAGCAGAAACAUCAGCAAAACGCAUAAAACCAUUCUGGAUUAUUACACGAAUUUGACCAAUAGCUCAACAGGCCUGUAUUCGGAUCUCACAGCUGUGUUACUUGUGAACCAUGCCUCAGUGAGAGACUUGAAUGCAAGGAUCGGGACUUCUAGCGUCUCUGUGGACAAUUUUAGACCCAAUGUGGUCGUGGAUGGGCCCAAGCUGGAAGCUUACGCUGAAGAUGAUUGGGAUUGGAUCAAAAUUGGCGACGUUGUGUUAAGGAACGUUAAGGAAUGUACCAGGUGCAUAAUGACAACGAUCGACCCGGAAAAUGAGAACCGAAGCUCAGACAGGGAACCCUUGAAAACUCUGGAAACAUAUCGUCUCAGCAAUGGACCAAGCAGGUUACCCACAAUGGGCAUUAAUUGUGAAGUGAAAGUAGAAGGAAUUAUUAAGUUAGGAGACCCGGUUUUCAUCUCGAAGAGUGUCUUGAGCUCAGCCACUAACGGAACCAUCAAACACUAAGUCUUCGUCCUGAUCAAACACUAGCAGUUUAUACAGGAGUUUAGCUUGCUUUAGAAACUACAUAAUUUAGCGUUAUCUACUGUUAAAAUCCCAUGUAAAUAAGACAUAUAGAUCUAAAUAACAGUUGAAAUGUACAUAUGCAGAAAGCUUAUUGCAAUUAGUGUCGUAGCAAAAUAAAAGUUAGAAAAACUGGAAA